GAUGAAGAACGCAGCGAAAUGCGAUAAGUAGUGUGAAUUGCAGAAUUCAGUGAAUCAUCGAAUCUUUGAACGCACAUUGCGCCCCUUGGUAUCCCGAGGGGCAUGCCUGUUCGAGCGUCAUUUCACCACUCAAGCCUGGCUUGGUGUUGGGCGACGUCCUCUUUGGGGACGCGCCUCGAAACGCUCGGCGGCGUGGCACCGGCUUUAAGCGUAGCAGAAUCUUUCGCUUUGGAAGUCGGGGCCCCGUCUGCCGGAAGACCUGCUCGCAAGGUUGACCUCGGAUCAGGCAGGGAUACCCGCUGAACUUAAGCAUAUCAAUAAGCGGAGG
rnacentral:misc_RNA from 1 species